GCCCUGGUAGCUCAGCAGGAUAGAGCGACGGCCUCCUAAGCCGUAGGUCCCAGGUUCGAAUCCUGGUCAGGGCGCCA
rnacentral:tRNA from 1 species